rnacentral:rRNA from 1 species
AUUGAACGCUGGCGGCAGGCCUAACACAUGCAAGUCGAGCGGAUGAAGGGAGCUUGCUCCUGGAUUCAGCGGCGGACGGGUGAGUAAUGCCUAGGGAUCUGCCUGGUAGUGGGGGAUAACGUCCGGAAACGGGCGCUAAUACCGCAUACGUCCUGAGGGAGAAAGUGGGGGAUCUUCGGACCUCACGCUAUCAGAUGAGCCUAGGUCGGAUUAGCUAGUUGGUGGGGUAAAGGCCUACCAAGGCGACGAUCCGUAACUGGUCUGAGAGGAUGAUCAGUCACACUGGAACUGAGACACGGUCCAGACUCCUACGGGAGGCAGCAGUGGGGAAUAUUGGACAAUGGGCGAAAGCCUGAUCCAGCCAUGCCGCGUGUGUGAAGAAGGUCUUCGGAUUGUAAAGCACUUUAAGUUGGGAGGAAAGGCAGUAAGUUAAUACCUUGCUGUUUUGACGUUACCAACAGAAUAAGCACCGGCUAACUUCGUG